rnacentral:rRNA from 1 species
AUUGAACGCUGGCGGCAGGCCUAACACAUGCAAGUCGAGCGGUAACAUUUCUAGCUUGCUAGAAGAUGACGAGCGGCGGACGGGUGAGUAAUGCUUGGGAACAUGCCUUGAGGUGGGGGACAACAGUUGGAAACGACUGCUAAUACCGCAUAGUGUCUACGGACCAAAGGGGGCUUCGGCUCUCGCCUUUAGAUUGGCCCAAGUGGGAUUAGCUAGUUGGUGAGGUAAUGGCUCACCAAGACAACGAUGUCUAGGGGUUCUGAGAGGAUGAUCCCCCACACUGGUACUGAGAUACGGACCAGACUCCUACGGGAGGCAGCAGUAGGGAAUAUUGGUCAAUGGGCGAGAGCCUGAACCAGCCAUGCCGCGUGCAGGAAGACGGCCUUCUGGGUUGUAAACUGCUUUUAUACAGGAACAAAUAGUCCAUGCGUGGAAAGUUGAGUGUACUGUAUGAAUAAGCACCGCUAACU